GACGGAGGAUGCAAGUGUUAUCCGGAAUCACUGGGCGUAAAGCGUCUGUAGGUGGUCAAAUAAGUCAACUGUUAAAUCUUGAGGCUCAACCUCAAAAUCGCAGUCGAAACUAUUAGACUAGAGUAUAGUAGGGGUAAAGGGAAUUUCCAGUGGAGCGGUGAAAUGCGUAGAGCCCGAUCGGAACACCGGUGGCGAAGGCGGCCUGCUGGAGCCGGGCCGACGCUGAGGCGCGAGAGCGCGGGGAGCGAACGGG
rnacentral:rRNA from 1 species